rnacentral:tRNA from 1 species
GCCUGGCUGGCUCAGUCAGAAGAGCACGCGACUCUUGAUGUCGGGUUCGUGAGUUCAAGCCCCAUGCUGGGUG